CACAGAUAAAGAUAAAGAUAAAGAGAGAGAGAGAGAGAGAGAGAGAGAGAGAGAGAGAGAGAGGGCGAGGAGGGUAUCGCGAAGAGAGGGAAGAGGUGGAAAGAAGAUUUCUGGGCACGCGCAGUACACCUGCUAGCGUGUAGUGGCACGCGCCGUACCAACCCUUCUCCACCAGCAUCACCAGCACCACUACCAUUAACAGUACUACCACCAUCAAGAACGGUAGCGGCAGCGGCAGCGGCAGCAGCAGCGGCAACAGCAGCAGCAGCAGCACGGCCGCUGGCAUCGCUUGGCCCUCUCCACCUCGUUCUCUUACUGCGACGGCAGUCGAGCACUCCCUCCCUCGUCGCGGCGCUUCGUUCUCCUCCGCGGCCGUCGGCGCCGCUUCUCCCACCCUCCCCCGAGCGUUCCUCCCUCCGGAACGGUCCCCUCGCGCGUGCCGCGCGGGAGUCAAUCGCUCGUGGACUUCGACGAGGCGAGCACACGCGGCUCCUUCCUCUCUUCUCUUUCUCUCCUCUCCCGACGUCGUUCGUGCGUGACGUUUUCGACGUGAAAAAGAAGGAGAAAGAAAGAAGUACGAUCGACGUCGUUCGCCGUGUCUUGACGUUUCUCCCUCUCCUCUCUCUCUCUCUCUCUCUCUCUCUCUCUCUGUCUCUCUCUCUGUUUGCCUGUCUUUCUCUAUCUAUUUAUCUAUCUCUUUCUUUCUCUCUCUCUCUCUCUGGUUCUCAGUCUUUUUCUCUUCUUUUUCGAUGACUCUCCAUUUUCCUCUGUCUGUCUGUCUCGUCUGUUCGUAUCUCCUAAACUCUUGGAGUUUCUAAUUGGUUAAAUCUUCGAUGUGAGAGAAGAUAAGAUCGAUAAAGGAAAAGAAGUGUAUCCCCAAGGUUGGAGUGGCAAGGACAUUGUCGAUAAAAGGUGCGAAGAAAAAGGGAGAGAAGGAAAGGAGAAUACGAGUAGAAGUAAGAGAGCACGGCACGAGAGUAGCCGGCCGAUGUUCGCGUAUGAAAGAAUCCAGUCGGCCUCUUCCGCCUUCUCCUCCUCAUCCUCUCGCGAGAGCACCGCGAGGAGGGAAACGUCAUCGACGACGAGAAGUUUUAUCUAAGAGCCGAGACCGCUGCGUGGAGAACGACGAGGAAGACGAGGACGACGGCGAAGCCGUUCCGAUCCUCGUCGAAACGUUCUCGAUCCUCCGAUCCGAAGGGAAUAAAAACGAACGGAAGACUGUUUAAGACGUAAGAAAGAGAGAGAAAAAGGCCGUCCAGUUGAGAGGUCCCUGACAUAUUUCGAGUCUCGUCGUUGGAAUCUCGCGAGUGGCCGGCCGAUGCCCGUUGAUCCGGCCGUUCCGCCGCAGACUUUUCCCGUUUCUUCGUCUCCGCCGUAGUGGAAAAGAGGCAGGGAGAGAGGGAGAGGACAAGCACACUUUUCUUGAUCGUUCUUCCGCGCAACGAACGUUUCUCAUCGACCGAGCUCUCUUUCUCUCUCUCUCUCUCUCGCUCUCGCUCUCGCUCUCUUGCUCUCGCUCGCUCGCUCGCAAAACCACCUGUUGACGAUUUACGAGGGAAAAUCUACGUCGUUCUACCUUACGAAACGUUCUACAUUUGACAUUUUUUCCAGAAGAGAUCGGCAAGUUCUUUCUUCUAAAGCAACAAAGACGUCAUUCCAAAGAAAGGUGCUAACGUUCGUUCUAGUGUUUAAUAUAAAUGCCGCAAGCAACCUCGAAUAAUCCUAUUUUCUUCGAAACCGAUCGAAAAGGGGCGAAGAAGAGGGAAACAGGAGGUUAAAGCUUUCACAGCUCUUCGUACUUUUCGACGACUCGAAGAGUACGUUACUACGGACAGCGAGUGUUUUUCUAUGUCAAUGUUAUCCGUGCGUUGACGUGUUAUCGGUCAGUUGCAUCGGCGCUGCCUGAAAAACUCGUCGGUGUCAAGAGGUCACAGAACGUUCCGUGUAGAUUACGCGAUCCGCGAAACGCCUUUCGGACAGGUCUGCUCUUUGUCUCUGUCAUUCUUUCGCAUUUUCGCUCUGUGAAGCAAUU